rnacentral:rRNA from 1 species
CCUACGGGAGGCAGCAGUGGGGAAUAUUGCGCAAUGGGCGGAAGCCUGACGCAGCGACGCCGCGUGGGGGAUGACGGCCUUCGGGUUGUAAACCUCUUUCAGUAGGGAAGAAGCGCAAGUGACGGUACCUGCAGAAGAAGCACCGGCUAACUACGUGCCAGCAGCCGCGGUAAUACGUAGGGUGCAAGCGUUGUCCGGAAUUAUUGGGCGUAAAGAGCUCGUAGGCGGUCUGUCGCGUCGGCUGUGAAAACUCGGGGCUCAACCCCGAGCCUGCAGUCGAUACGGGCAGACUAGAGUGCUGUAGGGGAGACUGGAAUUCCUGGUGUAGCGGUGAAAUGUGCAGAUAUCAGGAGGAACACCGAUGGCGAGGGCAGGUCUCUGGGCUGUUACUGACGCUGAGGAGCGAAAGCAUGGGGAGCGAACAGGAUUAGAUACCCUGGUAGUCCAUGCCGUAAACGUUGGGCACUAGGUGUGGGGGACAUUCCACGUUUUCCGCGCCGUAGCUAACGCAUUAAGUGCCCCGCCUGGGGAGUACGGCCGCAAGGCUAAAACUCAAAUGAAUUGACGGGG